AACGUAGGAGGCAAGCGUUAUCCGGAGUUAUUGGGCGUAAAGGGCUCGUAGGCGGUUUGUCGCGUCGGGAGUGAAAACUCAGGGCUUAACCCUGAGCCUGCUUCCGAUACGGGCAGACUAGAGGUAUGCAGGGGAGAACGGAAUUCCUAGUGUAGCGGUGAAAUGCGCAGAUAUCAGGAGGAACACCGGUGGCGAAGGCGGGUCUCUGGGCCGUAACUGACGCUGAGGGGCGAAAGCAUGGGGAGCGAACAGG
rnacentral:rRNA from 1 species